rnacentral:rRNA from 1 species
AUGUCGUCUGAGUACUAUAUAAUAGUUAAAACUUUCAACAACGGAUCUCUUGGUUCUGGCAUCGAUGAAGAACGCAGCGAAAUGCGAUAAGUAAUGUGAAUUGCAGAAUUCAGUGAAUCAUCGAAUC